rnacentral:lncRNA from 1 species
GAGAGGAGGCUAAAGAGGCGGUGGCGUAGGGCACUCCCUGCCUGGGCCACAGUGCGCCACUCGGGGCGCUGCGGCCCCCGGGUCUCAGUGCUGGCAGGAAAACAGCUGGGGCCAAGAGGGAGCGUCAUUUCGAAAACCUGCUUCUGGGAACAAAGCGUAAAGUGCAAGCUGGGAGGCGUGGCACUGAGUGCUGGGGAUGGAACCCAGGGCCUUAAGCAUGCAAGAGUUGAAGACAUGGAGGAGCAUACAAGCUGUCCUGAUACAGAUUGACCAAAAAGCCCUCCACCCCUUCCCUGAAAAAUGACCACAUUCAAUGACUGGCUCAUCAAUUCCUACACAAGACAUUUCAUUUAUCAGAGCUGAAGAUGCUUAACAACAAUGGUCGCUUAAAAAAUUUUGCAGAAAAGGUUUGUAUAGGCAAAGCUGAUUUUUACUAAACUGGUGUAGUAUAAUUUAAAAUCAUAUAUUCACAAAAACAAAUUAAGAGAAAGAAAAUGUAGUGCUGUACUUUUUUUCUCACCACUUAAGUUCAGGUCUCCUGUCUUACAGAAUACAAAGAAGACAUCAAUGAGGUCAUUCCACUGCUGUUAAAUUAUAAAAUGCUAGAUUUUAUAAAUAUUUUCCUCUAAAAGAGAAU